UAAUUGCGCGUCAACUUGUGAACUGCNGGACACAUGAACAUCGACAUUUCGAACGCACAUUGCGGUCCACGGAUACAAUUCCCGGACCACGCCUGGCUGAGGGUCG
rnacentral:rRNA from 2 species